AAGCCAGCCUAGGGCCACCCUGCUUCGGAAGCGUGUGGGCCCUCCAGGCUUCCAUCUGCGGACUGCACAUCACAGGGAGGGAGUGUUCCGCACCAGGCAGGGCACCAUGGAAACACCGUGGGAAGGCUGGAGAACUCUGCUUCUGGACGUGUUCAUUCAGGCCCAUCCUUGUCUCCACCUCACUUACUCUCUUCACUUCUGGCAGGGCUGAAUGCCCUCAUUUUACCCAACACCAGGAAUCUCCAAGGAACCCCAGAAAGUUGCAGGACCCUGGACUCCUUUCUUGUAGCUAGGGGUCAGGUCAGGCACAUGCACAUCAGCUGCCGGGGAGGAAGUGGGGUGCAGGGAUGCAGACCGGGCUGCAAAAUAGCCUCUCAACAUCCCAGCCUCUCUGCAGGAGAGAUGCUGCCCGUGGCCACUCCAGAGUUGGUGGACCUCAUUCAUGUCUCCAGGAGAGAUAAACGACUUUAACAAAACCCAGCAAUAUUAGCAAAGCCUGUGGCCAGAACAUUUCAGUGAGUAAUUUUAAUGCCCAGGUGUGUAGCAUGGCACAGAAAAACAUCUUUGAGGAUGGAUUAACAACACAUUUUGCCAUCCCCUGAGAGAUUUUACCCUGAACGCACACAUCUCUAAGAGAUGGUGUGGUCCCUAUCAUUAGAUUGUUAUGAAGAAUGCUUUAGGAAGUCUCUCCCAGGUGCCAAGGCUCCUCUGGGAAAAGGUUCAAAGGGUGGUGGGCCAGUCCUCUGGGCACAUGCAUUCCUGGUGCAGACCACCAGAAUUGUGCCAGUAGUAGCUAAGGGUGUUAGCAAGUCCUGGUGCAUGCCACGGUGCAGGCCCAGGCAGCCAGCCUGUGCUCUUCAUUCUGGGACAGUGCUGUCCUGGACUGUCCUUUAUGACCACCCCCAGCCUUGGUUCUGCAGUGGGGCAUGGUUGUGUGCUGGUGGCAACAAGGACACGCCCUGACCCUCUGCUCCCUCUCUUGUUCUCCUUUUGUUUUAACAUUUUCCUCAGAUUAUAGAAUUACCACAUGCCAACUAUUAUGAGCUGAAUUGGGCCUUCCCACCCACAAAUCCAUGUGUUAAAGCCCUAACCCCUAGCACCUCAGAAUGUGACUGUAUUUGGAGAUAGGAUCUUUAAAGAAGUAAAUAAGUUAAAUGAGAUCAUUAGGGUGGGCUCUCAUCAAAUUUGACUGAUGUCCUUCUAAGAAGAUGGGGACACAGACACACACAGGGGGAAGACCACGUGAAGACACAGGGCAUCUGCAAGCCAAGGAGAGAGAGAGGCCUCAGGACUCUGCCAGCACCUUGAGCUCAGUCUUCCAGCCUCCACAACUUUGCUAGAAUAUGGCUGUACGGCAAUGCUGAGACAUCACGCUGAGCGAGAGUGGACAUCCUCAUUUUAUUCCUACCCUUACCGUGGAUCUCUCCUGUGCUUCACCACUCAGUAUAAUGCUGGCUGAGCUCUUCUGACAAAUACCUUCCAAGAUGUGAGGAAAACACACGUAGGUGCAGUUGUUGAAUUGUAUGAUCUGCCACUGAAGUAAUUAGUGUGAUAAUUACUUGGAUUUUCUCCUUUAACAAAUUAUUGUUAUAAAUUAUAUUAAUAUAUGUCAUGCUAAUAAAUUAUUUCCAUAUUCCUAGGAAUAAAGCUGGGUAGUUUGUGGUAUAUUAUUCUUUGAAUUUAUUCCUGGAUUUAACGUAAAAAUAUUUUAUAGGGAAGUGUUAUAUCUAUACUCUUAAGUGCAAUUGUUCUAUAGAUGCUUUUCAUUGUUAUCUUUGUUGAGUUUGGGCUUAAAUGUGAUGCUAGUCUUAUAUAAUCAGUUUCAAACAAUUUCUAAACUUUCUAUGCUUUGGGAACUUUAAAAUAGCAUCAUACUGAAUUAUUUCCCUCAAAGUCUGAUAAAAAUCAUCUAUGACCUGGAUUACUUAUAAGGGAUCCAAAGGAAGGUGGGAAGGAAGUAAUUUGCAUUUGAAAAAAGCUUUCCCUCCUUGGGAUUGGAGUCCUUUGAUCAAAAAAAGUAGUUUUACAGUUCUGUGUGGUUAAAAUUCAUAAUCAUUUUGUCAUUAUUUACUACUUGUACUAAGAGAAAAAGGCUUGUAGAAUUUCUACCUUAUUUAGAAUAGACUUUGUUAGGCCUAAUUCAUUAUCAAUAUUUAUAAAUACUGAGUUAAUACAUUACUUUGUCUCUUUGUGGCUUACAAUGUUUUCUAUGUAGGUACUAUGCCAAGUUUGUUAAUUACAUUAUUCACGCUUUGUAUGUCCUUUUUUAUCUUGUUAAUCCACAAAAUUCUGUACAAUGUGUUAGAGCUUCUCAGUACCAAACAAUUUUAUCAAAUUUUUAUGUUUUAUAUUUUCACAUUAUUUCCUCUACUAGUAUUUGAAAUGCAAAUGUUCAUGACUUCAAUGUCUUCAUUGUGGAUUGUAUA
ensembl:lncRNA novel transcript